GCAAUUGAUUGCAAAUCGACUGCAACUUUGCAGCCGAUUCCGAUCGACUGCAACUAGCAAUCAAUCGCCAAUUUGCGUUGCAAGAAAAAGGCUUGCGAUUGAACGCAAGUUGCAGCUGAUCUGCAGACGAUUUGCAGCUGUAAACAGGGUCUGCAGCACAAGACUAGCCGAAAAAGCAAAAUAAUGGCUUGCAACAAUCCUGUUUGUGGAAGAGAUUAUGACAAAGAAGUCUGGAACCUCAGAACCACCAUAACUGUGUCUGCUACAAUGUGUGUUCUUGCAACCAGCUGAUUGAUUCAUUUUAUCAACUCUUGAAUGGUUGAUUAUCAGAACUGAAUUCAGAGCUGAUCCUGUCUGUAGUAACAUCAUUAUAAGAGUGGACUACAGAAUGAGGGCGUUGCUUGUUUAAAAACUUCACUCCAUGGAGCUCUCCAAAUUCAUCGCAAAUUAGACUGCUUCUGGAAACCAGAUUUGUUCGUUCAAGCAG